AGUCAAUAGAUACCCGGGUAGUCCACGCCGUAAACGAUGUCGACUUGGAGGUUGUGCCCUUGAGGCGUGGCUUCCGGAGCUAAACGCGUUAAGUCGACCGCCUGGGGAGUACGGCCGCAAGGUUAAAACUCAAAUGAAUUGACGGGGGCCCGCACAAGCGGUGGAGCAUGUGGUUUAAUUCGAUGCAACGCGAAGAACCUUACCUACUCUUGACAUCCAGAGAACUUAGCAGAGAUGCUUUGGUGCCUUCGGGAACUCUGAGACAGGUGCUGCAUGGCUGUCGUCAGCUCGUGUUGUGAAAUGUUGGGUUAAGUCCCGCAACGAGCGCAACCCUUAUCCUUUGUUGCCAGCGGUUAGGCCGGGAACUCAAAGAAGACUGCCAGUGAUAAACUGGAGGAAGGUGGGGAUGACGUCAAGUCAUCAUGGCCCUUACGAGUAGGGCUACACACGUGCUACAAUGGCGCAUACAAAGAGAAGCGACCUCGCGAGAGCAAGCGGACCUCAUAAAGUGCGUCGUAGUCCGG
rnacentral:rRNA from 1 species